UACGUAGGGGCUAGCGUUAUCCGGAAUUACUGGGCGUAAAGGGUGCGUAGGUGGUUUCUUAAGUCAGAGGUGAAAGGCUACGGCUCAACCGUAGUAAGCCUUUGAAACUGAGAAACUUGAGUGCAGGAGAGGAGAGUAGAAUUCCUAGUGUAGCGGUGAAAUGCGUAGAUAUUAGGAGGAAUACCAGUUGCGAAGGCGGCUCUCUGGACUGUAACUGACACUGAGGCACGAAAGCGUGGGGAGCAAACAGGAUUAGAUACCCCGGUAGUCCCUGAGCGGG
rnacentral:rRNA from 1 species